rnacentral:rRNA from 1 species
GAGGACCCGGUCUUCGGACUCGGGAGCGUACACAGGGUGCUGCAUGGCUGUCGGUCAGCUCGUGUCGUGAGAUGUGGGUAAGUCCCGCAACGAGCGCAACCCCUGCUGCCAGUUGCCAACGGGUGAAGCCGGGCACUCUGGCGGGACUGCCAUCGACAAGAUGGAGGAAGGUGGGGAUGACGUCAAGUCAUCAUGGCCCUUAUGUCCAGGGCGACACACGUGCUACAAUGGCCGGCACAGCGGGAAGCGAGGCAGUGAUGCCGAGCGGAUCCCUUAAAGCCGGUCUCAGUUCGGAUUGAAGUCUGCAACUCGACUUCAUGAAGCUGGAAUCGCUAGUAAUCGCAGAUCAGCCAAGCUGCGGUGAAUACGUUCCCGGGCCUU